CUCUCGAGCAACUAUACUUGUGGUGUCUUUUUCUAAUUUUUCAUUCAUACUUUUCUCAAGCAACCUUGCAUAAAUAGCUCACCUUUCCAUGUUUUUCAAAUCUCUUGACUGACUUCGCUCAUUUCCAUUUGCAUGUUGAACCUCAUGUGAGUUGGGUAACUCCUCUACAUCAAAGACAACAUUUACAGCAUCAGCGUACACUCCAUAGUCUUGAAGGUAGUUCUCCAAUGCUUCCAGCUCAAGUUGCAAAGCAUCAUCACCAUCUACAAAUUAUUUCAAAUGGUCGUGCUCCAUGUGUUGGUGGUCAUAAGCUGUCAAAAUCACAUGCUGGAAAUUUAUUUGCAAGACUUCUCCACAAUUGCUUCCCAAGGAUGUAGGUUGAGAUCAAAAACAUGUAGAGCAUGUACAUGUGCCUGCCACUCAACUUGAUCAAGGUUAUCUCCUUGGCCAGCAGCAAG